GAAAUGCGAUACGUAGUGUGAAUUGCAGAAUUACGUGAAUCAUCAAAUCUUUGAACGCAUAUUGCGCUCGAGGCUUCGGCCGAGAGCAUGUCUGCCUCAGCGUCGGGUUAAUACUCGCUCCGAUCACACCAAUGAUGGGUAGCGGAACUGGUCGUCCCAGGCGUGUGCUUUUGGUGCCGCAAGGCAUCAUUAUUUGCACUACACCGGCUGGGUCGGCUGAAGUGCAGAGGUUGACACAUGGACCCGUUAUGGGCCGCAGAUGGUUAGGCAGCUUCGGCAGCUAUAUUUCUAUCUGUUGGCUUGGCGUUCGGUGUGUCCGACCCUAUCACAGGAACCCUAAACCUAUUUCCUCGACCUGAGCUCAGGCAAGAACACCCGCUGAACUUAA
rnacentral:misc_RNA from 1 species